rnacentral:rRNA from 1 species
AUUGAACGCUGGCGGCAUGCUUUACACAUGCAAGUCGAACGGUAACAGGCCGCAAGGUGCUGACGAGUGGCGAACGGGUGAGUAAUGCAUCGGAACGUGCCCAGUCGUGGGGGAUAACGCAGCGAAAGCUGCGCUAAUACCGCAUACGAUCUAUGGAUGAAAGCGGGGGACCGUAAGGCCUCGCGCGAUUGGAGCGGCCGAUGUCAGAUUAGGUAGUUGGUGGGGUAAAGGCUCACCAAGCCGACGAUCUGUAGCUGGUCUGAGAGGACGACCAGCCACACUGGGACUGAGACACGGCCCAGACUCCUACGGGAGGCAGCAGUGGGGAAUUUUGGACAAUGGGGGCAACCCUGAUCCAGCAAUGCCGCGUGCAGGAAGAAGGCCUUCGGGUUGUAAACUGCUUUCGUACGGAACGAAACGGCUCUGGUUAAUACCCGGGCUAAUGACGGUACCGUAAGAAUAAGCACCGGCUAACUACGUGCCAGCAGCCGCGGUAAUACGUAGGGUGCGAGCGUUAAUCGGAAUUACUGGGCGUAAAGCGUGCGCAGGCGGUGCUGUAAGACAGGCGUGAAAUCCCCGGGCUCAACCUGGGAAUGGCGCUUGUGACUGCAGUGCUGGAGUGCGGCAGAGGGGGAUGGAAUUCCGCGUGUAGCAGUGAAAUGCGUAGAUAUGCGGAGGAACACCGAUGGCGAAGGCAAUCCCCUGGGCCUGCACUGACGCUCAUGCACGAAAAGCGUGGGGGAGCAAAACAGGAUUAGAUACCCUGGUAG